rnacentral:rRNA from 1 species
AUUGAACGCUGGCGGCACGCCUAACACAUGCAAGUCGAGCGGUAACAUGUUUAGUAGCAAUACUAGAUGAUGACGAGCGGCGGGCGGGUGAGGAACACGUAGGAACUUGCCCUCUAGCGGGGGACAACCAAGGGAAACUUCGGCUAAUACCGCAUAUUCUCGAGAGAGGAAAGCUGCCCGCAAGGGUGGCACUAGAGGAGAGGCCUGCGUCCGAUUAGCUUGUUGGUGAGGUAAUGGCUCACCAAGGCGAUGAUCGGUAACUGGUCUGAGAGGACGACCAGUCACACUGGGACUGAGACACGGCCCAGACUCCUACGGGAGGCAGCAGUGGGGAAUAUUGGACAAUGGGGGCAACCCUGAUCCAGCGAUGCCGCGUGGGUGAAGAAGGCCUUCGGGUUGUAAAGCCCUUUAGGUUGGGAAGAAGGAUGUUGGGUGAAUACCCCGACAUUUUGACGGUACCGACAGAAUAAGCACCGGCAAACUCUGUGCCAGCCGCCGCAGUAA